GGCGAGAGACGAUAGCGAACAAGUACCGUGAGGGAAAGAGAAAAGAACUUUGAAAAAGAGAGUUAAACAGUACGUGAAAUUGUUGAAAGGGAAACGAUUGAAGUCAGUCAUACUAACGGGAAAUCAACCUCUUGAGUUUGGUCUCGUGGGUUUCGAANAGUUUAAAACCCUCCGAAUUUCCAAAAUGGGGCCCUCCGGUUU
rnacentral:rRNA from 1 species